rfam:Aedes aegypti strain Liverpool supercont1.565 genomic scaffold, whole genome shotgun sequence.
GCUUUAGCUUAGUUGGUAAAGCACUCGUCUAGCAUACAAGAGCCGUAGGUUCAAAUCCCACCUGAGCA